rnacentral:rRNA from 1 species
AUUGAACGCUGGUGGCAGGCCUAACACAUGCAAGUCGAGCGGAUGACGGGAGCUUGCUCCUUGAUUCAGCGGCGGACGGGUGAGUAAUGCCUAGGAAUCUGCCUGGUAGUGGGGGACGACGUUUCGAAAGGAACGCUAAUACCGCAUGCGUCCUACGGGAGAAAGCAGGGGACCUUCGGGCCUUGCGCUAUCAGAUGAGCCUAGGUCGGAUUAGCUUGUUGGUGAGGUAAUGGCUCACCAAGGCGACGAUCCGUAACUGGUCUGAGAGGAUGAUCAGUCACACUGGAACUGAGACACGGUCCAGACUCCUACGGGAGGCAGCAGUGGGGAAUAUUGGACAAUGGGCGAAAGCCUGAUCCAGCCAUGCCGCGUGUGUGAAGAAGGUCUUCGGAUUGUAAAGCACUUUAAGUUGGGAGGAAGGGUUGUAGAUUAAUACUCUGCAAUUUUGACGUUACCGACAGAAUAAGCACCGGCUAACUCUGUGCCAGCAGCCGCCGUAACAC